rnacentral:ncRNA from 1 species
UCCCGUUGCAUGUGCGGGUUAUCACAUGCUCCUCCCUGUUGGACUGACCCGGGCCCCGGCCCGGGUCUUUUU